CUGCUGCCUUCCGUAGGAGUUUGGACCGUGUCUCAGUUCCAAUGUGGGGGACCUUCCUCUCAGAACCCCUACGCAUCGUCGGCUUGGUGGGCCGUUGCCCCCACCAACUACCUAAUGCGCCGCAUGCCCAUCCAUGACCGGGGUCGCCCCCUUUGACCGGCAGGGGAUGUCCCCUCCCGGCAUUAUGUUGUAUUAGGCGGGAUUUCUCCCGGUUAUCCAUCUGUCACGGCCAGGUUGCAUACGUGUUACUCACCCGUGCGCCGGUCGCCGGCGG
rnacentral:rRNA from 1 species